rfam:Pyrobaculum calidifontis JCM 11548, complete genome.
ACUGCCGGGACUACGCCGGGCAAGGCCGGCGCCGUGCCGCGCUGUGACCCCGGCGGGGCGCCU